UGUAUUAUAUGACCAAUCAGAGGCGGUUGAGGCGGAACAGAAUCACAAGGCCAGAUGAGAAGCUGGGAAGCGGAGAAACGAAGUCGGGAAACAGAUUUAUACCAGCGAUAGCGCCGAAGCCUUGGUUUGUCGGUGCUGUGAGAAAACAUAAUUGCCGAAGAAGCCUGGAUGCUAAAACAGGCGCUGGAGCUGCUGCUUUGUUGAUCACGAGUGAGACUGGACGCUGAACACACCCGAGGCUCGAAGGUUGACUUUUUCAGCUGCUGCAGCUUGGACAGAACCAACGACGUCCACCUUACAGACCAACAGGUGUCACCACUUCAUCCACACCAUUGUCCACAAUCGCCGAGACGUCAUCCACGAUCGGAGAGACAUGGUCCAUGAUUGGAGAGACAUUGUUGAGGAUGAGGGAGACAUUGUCCACGAUCAGAGACGUUGUCCACGAUCACAGAGACCUUGUCAAAGAUGAGAGAGACGUUGUCCAUGAUCAGAGACAUUGUCCCAUGCUUCGUAGAGACCUUGCGAUAGAAUCGGCGGAGACGGGGGUCACCGAUUUGACGGCACUGCCCGCGAUCAUGGACACAUUGUCAAUGAUUACAGAGACAGCGUCUAUGAUCUCAGAGACAUCGUCCACGAUCACAAAGACAUUGUCCAUGAUCGCAGAGACAUUGUCCAUAAUCUCAGAGACAUUGUCCGCGAUCACAGAGACGUAGUCCACGAUCACAGAGUCUUCGUACAAUGAAGAAGGUCUUUGAGACCAGGACAGACGCCUCCAGGUAAUUCACAAACAGCUUUACAUCAACUGUCCAAGACAGAGCACUGACAUUCAGUUAUCUAUGUUCAGUAUUCAGUAUAUCAGUAUUUCAUUUUCUGAAAAAGCUCUCUAAUGUUUGUUAAAUGUUGUGGUUCAACUGUAAUGUUGAAUAUUUAUCUGUGUUUUCAUGGUUAAAUUGUUGAUGAAGAAUAGACAGUAGUGCAUUAAUCAUUUUCCUUUGUAUGUUUCUCUUGGAUUUCCUCCAGGUGUCACCACUUAAACCAUAACAUCAUCCACGAUCGGAGAGACAUGGUCCAUGAUUGGAGAGACAUUGUUGAGGAUGAGGGAGACAUUGUCCACGAUCAGAGACGUUGUCCACGAUCGCAGAGACCUUGUCAAAGAUGAGAGAGACGUUGUCCAUGAUCAGAGACAUUGUCCCAUGCUUCGUAGAGACCUUGCGAUAGAAUCGGCGGAGACAGGGGUCACCGAUUUGACGGCACUGCCCGCGAUCAUGGACACAUUGUCAAUGAUCACAGAGACAGCGUCUAUGAUCUCAGAGACAUCGUCCACGAUCACAAAGACAUUGUCCAUGAUCGCAGAGACAUUGUCCAUAAUCUCAGAGACAUUGUCUGCGAUCACAGAGACGUAGUCCACGAUCACAGAGAGUCUUUGUACAAUGAAGACCAGGACAGACGCCUCCAGAUUUCACCACUUCAUCCAUGAUCGCACAGGUCCCUGAUUCAAUGGCAUCGCCUGUGUGAGACGUAAGAAAAUAUUUUUUUUA